rnacentral:rRNA from 1 species
CCUACGGGUGGCUGCAGUGGGGAAUAUUGGGCAAUGGGCGCAAGCCUGACCCAGCAAUGCCGCGUGGGUGAAGAAGGCCCUCGGGUCGUAAAGCCCUUUCGGCGGGGACGAUGGUGACGGUACCCGCAGAAGAAGCCCCGGCCAACUUCGUGCCAGCAGCCGCGGUAAUACGAAGGGGGCUAGCGUUGCUCGGAAUGACUGGGCGUAAAGGGCGCGUAGGCGGCGCCGCAAGUCGGGCGUGAAAGCCCCGGGCUCAACCCGGGGACGGCGCCCGG